rnacentral:rRNA from 1 species
UACAGAGGGGGCAAGCGUUAUUCGGAAUUAUUGGGCGUAAAGGGCGCGUAGGCGGCUUGGCAAGUGGAAGGUGAAAUCCCUCGGCUUAACCGAGGAACUGCCUUCCAGACUGCUUUGCUUGAGGCCGGGAGAGGCGAGUGGAAUUCCCAGUGUAGCGGUGAAAUGCGUAGAUAUUGGGAGGAACACCAGUGGCGAAGGCGGCUCGCUGGACCGGUUCUGACGCUGAGGCGCGAAAGCGUGGGGAGCAGACGGG